rnacentral:rRNA from 1 species
UACGUAGGGGGGCAAGCGUUGUCCGGAAUUACUGGGCGUAAAGCGCGUGUAGGCGGGACGGUUAGUCGGACGUGAAAGGCUCGGGCUCAACCCGAGAUGGCCGUUCGAAACUGCCGUUCUUGAGGGUCGAAGAGGAGAGUGGAAUUCCUGGUGUAGCGGUGAAAUGCGUAGAGAUCAGGAGGAACACCCAUGGCGAAGGCAGCUCUCUGGUCGACAUCUGACGCUGAGACGCGAAAGCGUGGGGAGCGAACAGG